rnacentral:lncRNA from 1 species
GGCCCAACUCGAAAAAAAACUUCACGCUCUUAGCAUCAGCGUGGGCUGGGUUGUGUGAAGUCAAACCAUUUCCUACGACAUCCUUGACGGAACCCUAGUUUUGAACGGCCAUCACUGCGGCGGCGCCGCCCCUCUGGUAACUUCUUACGACACAAAGCCCACGAAAACUGUCAAGGUAUUUAAUUUUACAUGUAGCUCAAAAAUCGACAGUUCACUUUUCGUUUGCCUUUCCUGGAUCAUAUUUGAAUAAACUAGCAAUGACCAAUUUGCAGAGACUUAGGAAUCUCUCUAUUAUCAAAUGUAUUUCUUUUUUUAGCACUGAAAAUAAGUUGAGAUUAUCAAAAUCCAAUUUUUAUGUAGCCGGGUCAUACCCCAUUGUAGAGAACCUCAGGUUUUAUGGAACCAGUAACGUUGUUAGAUCACAGAAGGGUAAAAUUAUUGAUAAUGCGUUGCAAAUACCGCGUGCAGUUAGACAAGAUGCCCAAGCUGCUUUAUUAGAUUAUUUGCAUUCCACCAGGAGUUUGCAGUUCAUGGAUGCCGAGAAUAUGAGUAGAAAUUCACCAUAUUUUCUUGGAAAGUUGUUAAAAAGACUUGACGACAGUGAAACAGACGUUGGGCGGUCUGUAACGCGGUUGUUGAGGUACCAUCCCAUUAAUGAGUUUGAGCCAUUCUUUGAAAGCAUAGGUUUGAAACCUUCAGAGUAUUCUCCGUUUCUUCCGCAGAAUUUGAUGUUCUUGAAUGAUGAUCAAGUGCUGUUGAAGAACUACUAUGUUUUGUGCAAUUAUGGCAUAGAACGAAAUAAAGUAGGAAAAAUAUAUAAGGAAGCACCAGAAGUAUUUAAGUAUGAUUGUGGGGUUUUGCAAUCAAAGCUACAAUCUUUUGAAAAAUUAGGGUUAAGUCAGUCUCUUAUUAUUAAGGUUAUUGCUUCAUGUCCUUAUCUUUUGCGUGGAGAUAUAAGCUGGGAAUUCAUUGAGGUUCUGAGAAAAUUGAAGAAUACGGGGAUUGAAUAUAACUGGCUGGAGGAGCAUAUGUUUGAAGGCAAUUCUUACAGUUGGAACCGUAUGCUUGAGCUUUUAUGCAUGUUAAGUGAUAUGGGCUGCAGUGAGGAGCAAUUAGGAGGAUUCAUUACUCGGCAUCCGGAACUUUUGCUUGAGAGAUCAGGACACUUGACCUAUUUUUUGAUUGGGUUCUUGCUGAAAUUCGGAUACACACGGAAUGAGUUAAGUACUAUGUUUCUGCAGCUCCCCAAAAUAUCAGCUGAAAACUUCACUACUAAUUUGUUGCACUCCUAUCAUUUUCUGGUUGAAAUUGAAAUGACUGUUCAAGAUAUUGGGAGAAUUGUUCAUUCCCAUCCUGUACUACUGGGUUCAUGUUAUCUCAAGAAAGUUAAUAGCUUAUUGGCUAACUUGAACACUGGAAAGAAACGGCUCUGUCAAAUGAUCAUGGAAGACCCCAACGUGUUAAAGAAUUGGGUCCUUGGAGUGCGAGUCAAACGGUUGCUACCAGAUACAAACAAGACCAUAAGAGCGCGAAUGAUGAAAACUGAAUUCUUGUUAAGCCUGGGAUUUAUGGAGAAGUCAAAUGAAAUGGAACGAGCUCUCAAAGUGUUUCGAGGCAAAGGUAUUGAACUUCAAGAGAGAUUUGAUUGUUUAGUAAAUGCUGGUUUGAAACGUGAGGAAGUCAUAAAGAUGCUGAAAUCCUCUCCUCACAUUCUUAACCAAUCCAAGGAUGUAAUUGAAUCGAAAAUUGAUUAUCUUGUAAAUGAAUUGGGCUACCCAGUGUCCUCUUUGAUACCUUUUCCAUCAUAUAUCUCUUAUACAAUUGAUAGGGUGAAGCUUAGACUUUCAUUGUACAAAUGGCUGGUAGAUGAAAAAGCAGCAGAUAAAAAUUUGGCCUUGAGCACUCUCUUAGCAUGCUCAGAGAAAAAAUUUGAUAGGACUUAUGUAAAUUGCCAUCCUAGAGGACCUGAAGUCUGGGAAAAAUUGAGAAAAGAAAUGUAAUUGAAACAGAAUGAACACUUAUUGUCUCCUAGAUAUGUUUAAUGGAGUUGUUACAUUUCUAUCGAAGCUUGCAACUGAAGAAGUUAUUACUUAAGUUAAAAAGUGUGAUUUCAGUUGAGCUCCUUUCUUCUUUUACACGUUAACCAGCAUACUAUGGGAAAAGCAGAGACUCUCUAGUACCAGGUAAAUGUAUUAUGAAUUUCUGUUUUGUGUUUGUCCAUUAAUAUAUGUUUGAAAUAUUACAUUGGAGAUAGUUUGGUCUCAUUGAGAAAUAGCUUGACAUUUUACUUAAAAAAAUGAUUUUGAUUUCUUGUUUUUUUUUUUUUUUCAUCUAAUUGUCAAUGAUGUGGCUAAAUCUUUAAAUUUACAAGGAUGGUCAAAUUUUGAAGGACAAAAAUACUAGGAUAUUAAUUGAAGGGUUAAUGAAGUUGUUAAUCUUUAUUCGUAAUAGGUUUCUGAUCAAAAUACCUCCGGCUUGCUUGUUGAACUAUGUCUUGUUGAUACUACUGCUGGGAGAUCAAGAACUCUUUUACGAAAUUGUUUCUGUGCAAGCCACUGCAACAAGUGAGUUCCCCUUUCCAGUUCCACAUUCUUUGACUCAUUAACACUUUUAGGGUAUGUUUGGUCUCCCUCCCCUUCCCAAACAAGAGAAGGUCCAACCAUCCCGCAAUCCCAACCAAACGGCCCUUGGAGAGGACAAGUUGAAGGUAACCAACCGAAAGGAAGUGAAACCCUCACCCGGCCAUGGUUACAAGGGAAAAUUAGUAUAAACAAAUCUUUUUUGAGUAUAAACAAAGAAUAUAAGCCAUGGCUGUCCUCAUUUUGGACCUUGCAGUUUCUGCUUUGUUUUUGACCAGUGACCAGUCCAGAUUUUGUUGUGUUUUGGGCUCGAAGUCUCGGGGUCACAAGCCUGAUUUUCCAUCAUUAUUCUUAUUGGGGAAUUUAUAUGAUUGUUUGAGGUUUGGUUAUGUCGUGACUCCUGC